GACGAACGCUGGCGGCGUGCCUAAUACAUGCAAGUCGAGCGGACUUUCAAGAAGCUUGCUUUUUGAAAGUUAGCGGCGGACGGGUGAGUAACACGUGGGCAACCUGCCUGCAAGACGGGGAUAACUCCGGGAAACCGGGGCUAAUACCGGAUAAUAUCUUCCUUCGCAUGAAGGAAGGUUGAAAGGCGGCGCAAGCUGCCGCUUGCAGAUGGGCCCGCGGCGCAUUAGCUAGUUGGUGAGGUAACGGCUCACCAAGGCGACGAUGCGUAGCCGACCUGAGAGGGUGAUCGGCCACACUGGGACUGAGACACGGCCCAGACUCCUACGGGAGGCAGCAGUAGGGAAUCUUCCGCAAUGGACGAAAGUCUGACGGAGCAACGCCGCGUGAGCGAAGAAGGUCUUCGGAUCGUAAAGCUCUGUUGUCAGGGAAGAACAAGUACCGUUCGAACAGGGCGGUACCUUGACGGUACCUGACCAGAAAGCCACGGCUAACUACGU
rnacentral:rRNA from 1 species